UUCGCGCUGAUUUUUUCCCAAAUUUUUCCCCUAAAACGCAAAAACGAAAAAACCCCAAAUUUCCCCCUAAAAUGGAGGCACCAAAGACGAUUCAUCUUCUUUGAUGAGAGUAGCAGUGUGAGGAAUGGGAAUUCAUCUUCUCAUUUGUUGAAACCUGAAUCUGGAGAGAUAUUGAAUUUUGGUGAGAGUAAGAGAAGUGGGAAUGGGAAUUUGUUCACAGGAAACUCUCCGUUCGCCGUGGAGAACAAUAAGAGGUCGCCUAAUUCAAGAGGGAGCAACGAAGAAGCUAUGCUUUCGUUUACUUCAGGUGUAAUUUUACCUUCAUCUGGUGUGGUGAAAUCAAAUGGGGUGCCGGGAAUUCAGAUCACUCUGAUCUUGAAGCUUCCGUUGUUAAGGAGGCCGAUAGUAGUCGAGUCGUAGAGCCUGAAAAGAGGCCUCGAAAACAGGGGAGAAAACCGACUAAUGGAAGAGAAGAGCCUCUAAAUCAUGUUGAAGCGGAGCGUCAAAGAAGGGAGAAGCUGGCUUCCUACCUCCACAGAAGACUUGAUAACACUAAAAGAGGGAAUGGUGGGUGCUCCACCUCGACCUCGAGACUUCCCUUCAUCACUCUAACCUUUACCCGAAAGAAGGAGGAAAUCACGAUAAGGGCAGUCACCCACCCGGGGGAAGUGUCAGGCCAAUCGACCAUCAGCUGAGGAGAAGAAAUAUCGAAAAGAUUGAACUUCAAUUACACCGCGAUUUAGUAGUGAUUCGGGGGAAGAGGAGCUUGGUAGCUUGCUCCAGUCCAGUUUCAGAGGUGUGAUUGCGUUCUAUAAAUUGGCCGUGGUUGAGGGAAUGAGCAUGAGAGCACUCAUUGCUUACAGAUUCAUCUUCGCCACUGCUUGUAUAACUCCACUUGCUUUCAUCUUUGAAAGCCUGCAGCGUGUUGUAAAUCGUUAAGACAAGAAAAGCAUUGAUCUCCAAUGGGGUGGAUUGAAGAAAAUAUGAAAUCAACUCAUAUUAGACAAAUUCCCUCUCAAGCCAUCAGCCUCGGUUCAUGAGCAGCGAGAUAGCAAAGAAGCUGAUAUACUCACUAAAGGUAGCAUAUCCUUGAUAUCAAGCUAGUUGAAUGUGAGCAAAUACAAGUUGUGGUUUGUUUGUUUGUUUUCAACGAACUUUAAACUUUUUAUUAUCAAUCAUGAAAAUAUUUUCUGACUAUUAAAAUCUCUUUCCCCACCAAUGAAGUGGAGAGUGGACACUUCUAAAUAGUUUUGUUUGUUUACUUGUGGAAUGGUCUUAAAUACAUUCCAAGUUCUUCUCAUUUUUUCAUAUGUGUGUGUGUGUGUGUGGUUGAUCAUUCUUUAAAUAUCUUCAUAUGUACAGCUACUGCUUGAGUAUGCUAACCUUUUUAAUCUUUUGACUGGACAUAUUCAUGAGGAGACGCUAAUCUCUACGAUGACAGAAUGUUGUGCACAUCUAGUAAUAGUUGGUUGCAACAAAAAUACAUCAUGGGCAGAGCUGUUGGAAAGGAUCCCAUAACGUUCACUUAUGCUUACCUGAGAGCAUGUAGGAGCCAAAUUUGCGGUUCAAAUUCGAAGCCAUGCUCAAAAGUUUUUCUCUAAGGCUCAUUGCUUUGAGUUCAUUACAAGAUUUCCUUGAUUAAGUAAAUGUAUUAUAUCUUUUAUUAUCAAGAUUUACUUGAUUAAGAAAAUGCAUUGUAUAUUUUAUUACCUUGCAUAUGUAUUAUUUAUUUUAGUUUUGAUUCUAAA